AAAAAGAUAAUCUUGCUGAAGCAUCCAAGUGGCACCCAGUUUGGGGACCUCUUUAGGUUUUAAAGUUUCCAGUAACUCAUUUAAAAAACAUUGAGCUGCAACAGACUGGGCAACAUCCGGGACCUUCCAUAAGUAGUAGUUUAAAAAGCACCGACUUUGGCACCAAAGACAUCUUGAAAUCAGGUAAGAGGCAACUGAGGGAGAAGAGGACCUCUUCCAUCUGCACUGCUCGCAGAAGUCAGAGGAAGAAUCACACAGGGGUUCACAACAGGUGCCACCUUUGCCAGCCGCUCCCCAAAGGUGGCAACACAGAGGAGAAGCAGCAGCUGCCAAGAAGCCAAUGAGAUCAUUCUGGGAGAAAGAGGAAGGUCCACAGUAUAUCCAGAGGCUGAGGGCAGAGAGAGAGAAUGGAGACCAGGAAGAAAGGAAGAAAGAGGCAAUCAUCUUGCACAUUCUCAAAGCCCUCUGCAGCCUUGGAGACCAUCAUCAAAUUGUCUUAUUGCCUGUAAUUCAGGACAGGAAAAGCCUUUCUCUCAUCCAGGCCAUCGGCUGCUUCUAUUCUCGCGGGCUCCGGGCGACUGUGAACUAAAUUGGCCUCAUCAGUUUGACUGCUGAGAUAGUAGCCGCGUGGCCUGACCCUCAUCUAGCCACUCGACCUUUCUCCUCUCCUGCUCCCCACUCUGCUCCACAUCUCCAGCUCCCAAGUCCAGUUUCCCUUGAAAACAUCAUCAAGCACUUUGAAACUGUCCCACAAAUGGCAUUAAGUGCCCUGGGGGCUGGUGGCACAACAGGUGGAACCUAGGGCUUCUGUCCAAGGACAGGAGCGAGGAGUAUCCUUGUGACCCACGGGAGGUGUGGCUUCUCAGCACCGUGCAUCCCACCACGGUGUCCCCACUCCUAUCCCUGCCACCUGACUCUAGACUAACACAUGAAUCCUGAAGGCUCCAGCUCGGCCCUCAUCCCAGGAGACAUAAGCAGGCCACACCCAUCUCCAGGCACCGUUGCUCAGCCUGGCCACCAGCUUCCUAUUCAGAUGACUACUAAGACUAGCAGACUAAUGGUUCUGCAAUACCCCCAAAGCCAGACACUUUCUGUAGAAGCCCUAAGUCGUGAAUAGAAAAUACAAUAGAAACCAAAACCAGUA